rnacentral:lncRNA from 1 species
AAAGAACACAGUGGUUCUUAACCUGGAGUCCUCAAACGGGGGGCCCGGCCGAUCCACUGGGGGCCCCGGCCCGGCCGAUCCACUGGGGGGAGGGGUACCCCAGUGGGAUCAGUCACACACUUCAAAGUGUACACUAUAUUAACGUUAGGGACCAGUCACACACUUCAAAGUGUACAGUAUUUUAAUGAUCGGAUAAAUCAGGCGUACAUCAAGUAUACAACAGAAUACUAACAGAUCUAGAAUCAGAGAGAAGACAUGAUCAGUUUCUACAUUACCCCCCCAGACGGAUCACAUCGACAUGAUCCGUUUCUACAUUACCCCCCCAGAGGGAUCACAUCAACAUGAUCAGUUUCUACAUUACCCCCCCAGACGGAUCACAUUGACAUGAUCAGUUUUCAGGCAUGUUUCACGGUUAGUAAAGAGAGAACAGGGGCACGGGAGAGAAAACAGGGGCACGGGAGAGAAAACAGGGGCACGGGAGAGAAAACAGGGGCGCGGGAGAGAAAACAGGGGCGCGGGAGAGAAAACAGGGGCGCGGGAGAGAAAACAGGGGCGCGGGAGAGAAAACAGGGGCGCGGGAGAGAAAACAGGGGCGCGGGAGAGAAAACAGGGGCACGGGAGAGAAAACAGGGGCGCGGGAGAGAGAACAGGGGCGCGGGAGAGAGAACAGGGGCGCGGGAGAGAGAACAGGGGCGCGGGAGAGAGAACAGGGGCACGGGAGAGAGAACAGGGGCACGGGAGAGAGAACAGGGGCACGGGAGAGAGAACAGGGGCACGGGAGAGAGAACAGGGGCACGGGAGAGAGAACAGGGGCACGGUAGGCAUCUCUCUCAUUUCACACCGUCUCCUUAACGACGGACAUGUUUCAGUACGAUACAGUUAAUUUCAAACCGUUGACAGAAGCGCUGCGUCGUGGUCCUGAACACAGCCUACCAUCAUCAUCAUCAUCCUCAUCAUCAUCAUGGCACUAAAACCAGAGCAGCAGAGUCGUGGUCCUGAACAGAGCCGAGUCGUAGCAAGCAAAGCCCAGGGAUCACCGUCCGUUCUUAAAAACACUGACGUCGCCUUUUCGCGACGUAAACAAGAGUUUCUAUUUGACAACACUUCAGGCAGGUCCCGUUCCAGAUGCUUCCGGUUGGUUCCUAGUGAAUCCAUCCUUGUUCCACUGCGGUCCAGUCCUCCACCGGGUCAGUAACGGUCCAGUCCCCCCCGGGGUCGGUAACGGUCCAUCCUCCACCGGGUCGGUAACGGUCCAGUCAAUAACGGUCCAGUCAGUAACGGUCCAGUCAGUAACGGUCCAGUCUCCCCCGGGUCAGUAACGGUCCAGUCUCCCCCGGGUCAGUAACGGGUCAGUAAUGGCACUUCUCAGGGUUGGUCCAACAGCCUGGGUCUGAAUCUUAACAGCUGUUAGCCUGCUGAACUGAAGCCAAGGCAUUAACUUGGGGGAGCUAACAAGUCUUCAGUAAACAGUCCUGGAAUUAUCCCAAAGCAGGAGAGGGGCUGGUGUAGUCAGUGGGCAGAGCUAAGGUACGGCAGCUCCACCCAUAAUGCACUGGGCUAAGGUCACAGAGGUCGUGACCACUUCUGACCCUGCCCACAUCAGGGGUUAAAGUUCAUAUAGCAGAGAUAUUAAAAAAAAAAAAACAGUCAUGAUCCUGAAGGAUGAUGAAACACAAUCAGUGUGUGUGUGUGUGUGUGUGUGGGGGUCAGAGUUCAUAUGGUCCGUUUGACACAGGGUCGUCCACUGAGGUGGGAACAUAUGGCUGCUCAACCAAUCAGCAUCCUCUAACAUGUCCACACCUAGACACAGAAAGAGAGAGAGAGGAGGAGAGACAAGCGAGACACAAGAAAGAGAGAGCGAAAGACAGAGAGAGAGAGAAAACACAGUGAGGGAUAUUGGAAUGGAUUGCCUGACUGACUAACCCUUCCACUACAAUUUUCACGGCCCCAAAAAUCCAGAGUGGCGUCGCAGUGUCAGAGGCGUCACUACAGACCCUGGUUCGAUCCCGGGCUCUAUCACAACCGGCCGUGAUAGGGCGGCGCACAAUUGGCCCAGCGUCGUCCGGGUUGGGGGGGGAGGGGCACCUGCAGGCUGACCAGUUAAACGGUGUUUCCGCCGACACAGCAACCUUCCCACUAGCCAUGAUUGGCUGAGAUAAUGAGUGGGCUGGACAUGCCGAGAGAGUAGUAGUUCGGAUUGGUCCUGCCAUAUAGAAGGCUUCUCUAUCUGUUUGAGCUCGUCAGUCUGUCUUGGUAAUGUAGUAGAGCUGCGUAAGUGUUGCUCUCCACUUUCUGGAGGAUCAAGUUUUGAAAAAUCUGUGGAAAUUAGAGUCUGAUAGCUAAGGAGAUGGAGGAAACACCUGUCUCCGGGAUUACAUCUUCAAAACUAAGGGCAACCGUGGCGUGGCAUCCGUGACAGGGAGAGGCGUCCAUCAUGGAUCAUGGAUGUAUACGGGUAAGAUAGCUUGUUACAUUUUCAGAUAUUACACGUUUUCUAAUUUUGACAGAAUGGGGUUUUCAUUUCAAGCUAAAGUGCACCGUUAGCUAGCUAGCUACGGGUCUGAAGCUAAAGUGCACUGUUAGCUAGCUAGCUAACGUUAGCCGGCUGGCUCAUUAGCUAACGUUAGCCGGCUGGCUCAUUAGC